UACGAAGGGGGCUAGCGUUGCUCGGAAUUACUGGGCGUAAAGCGCACGUAGGCGGCUUUCUAAGUCGGGGGUGAAAUCCUGGAGCUCAACCCCGGAACUGCCUUUGAUACUGGGUAUCUCGAGUCCGAGAGAGGUGAGUGGAAUUCCGAGUGUAGAGGUGAAAUUCGUAGAUAUUCGGAGGAACACCAGUGGCGAAGGCGGCUCACUGGCUCGGUACUGACGCUGAGGUGCGAAAGCGUGGGGAGCAAACAGG
rnacentral:rRNA from 1 species